UUUCUUAUUGUUUCAAAAAGCUUCCUUACUUUUGAAGACUCGCCUCCAUCGAAGCUCGUUGCCAUCGAAGGUCGUCACCAUCAAAGCACGUCGUUGUCGAAGCUCGUCGCCGUCGUAGGCUCACUGCCAUCGAAGGCUUUGUCGCACUCGUCGCCGAACCAUUGAAGGCUUUGCCAUACUCUGCCGUCGCCGAAUUGCCGUCGCCUAACCACCAUCAUUGAAGAUUCUGAAAAAACUUCUCUUUAGCUGCAAAGAGAAGCAAAUAUGCAACCCAAAGAAAUCUGGUAAUGAUUGCUUGUACGUGGAGGGAGCAUUUGGGGUUCUUCCAUCAUCAGUGACCAAGGGAGAGAAACUUUUGGAAAGCAUUGGUGGCAUAUUCUCUAGAAUUUGAAAGCAUUGCCCUGUUGGUUUUGAAGGUCUGGCCAAUCCAUGUUUAUGUAGUUCAUGAGCAUGAGGGAGAGUGGGAGGCUUGUCAUUGCGGAUUUGGCUUUCGAAGAUGUCAAGGUUGAAGGUUGUGGAUCUUAAGGUGAAUUGUUUCUUAAGCAAGCUUAUCAAUGUGACAGUUCCAGGGACCAUUGAUGAACGAGCAAUCAAUACGAAAAGAUACUGAGUCCAUGGGAAGGAAUGAAAAUCACACACUUUGCCUCAACUCUGCUAAAGCAAUUGAAUGUACAGUGGUUAACAUUGGCACGCAGGAUUUCAUUGAACAAAGAGUAUGUUUGUAUUCUUUUUAGGUUUCACCCUUAAAAGCAUAAUUAUUGUGGCUGUGUACAAUGCAGAAACACAAUUUAAGUUUAGAUUUUAUUAACAAAUGAAUUUGAAAUAGGAUUUUUUUUUAUUUAUAAAAAUAUUGGCGAAAUCUAAUCAGAAUUAUUAGAUUAGAAUUA